rnacentral:rRNA from 1 species
AGGUGGCAAGCGUUAUCCGGAUUUAUUGGGUGUAAAGGGCGUGUAGGCGGGAGUGCAAGUCAGAUGUGAAAACUCAGGGCUCAACCCUGAGCCUGCAUUUGAAACUGUACUUCUUGAGUGCUGGAGAGGCAAUCGGAAUUCCGUGUGUAGCGGUGAAAUGCGUAGAUAUACGGAGGAACACCAGUGGCGAAGGCGGAUUGCUGGACCACAACUGACGCUGAGACACGAAAGCGUGGGGAGCAA